GGGUCUGCAGUGGGUACGGGCAGACUAGAGUGCGGUAGGGGAGAUUGGAAUUCCUGGUGUAGCGGUGGAAUGCGCAGAUAUCAGGAGGAACACCGAUGGCGAAGGCAGAUCUCUGGGCCGUAACUGACGCUGAGGAGCGAAAGGGUGGGGAGCAAACAGGCUUAGAUACCCUGGUAGUCCACCCCGUAAACGUUGGGCGCUAGAUGUGGGGACCAUUCCACGGUUUCCGUGUCGUAGCUAACGCAUUAAGCGCCCCGCCUGGGGAGUACGGCCGCAAGGCUAAAACUCAAAGGAAUUGACGGGGGCCCGCACAAGCGGCGGAGCAUGCGGAUUAAUUCGAUGCAACGCGAAGAACCUUACCAAGGCUUGACAUAUACGAGAACGGGCCAGAAAUGGUCAACUCUUUGGACACUCGUAAACAGGUGGUGCAUGGUUGUCGUCAGCUCGUGUCGUGAGAUGUUGGGUUAAGUCCCGCAACGAGCGCAACCCUCGUUCUAUGUUGCCAGCACGUAAUGGUGGGAACUCAUGGGAUACUGCCGGGGUCAACUCGGAGGAAGGUGGGGACGACGUCAAAUCAUCAUGCCCCUUAUGUCUUGGGCUUCACGCAUGCUACAAUGGCCAGUACAAAGGGCUGCAAUACCGUAAGGUGGAGCGAAUCCCAAAAAGCUGGUCCCAGUUCGGAUUGAGGUCUGCAACUCGACCUCAUGAAGUCGGAGUCGCUAGUAAUCGCAGAUCAGCAACGCUGCGGUGAAUACGUUCCCGGGCCUUGUACACACCGCCCGUCAAGUCAUGAAAGUCGGUAACACCCGAAGCCAGUGGCCUAACCGCAAGGAAGGAGC
rnacentral:rRNA from 1 species